GACGAACGCUGGCGGCGUGCUUAACACAUGCAAGUCGAACGGAAAGGCCCUGCUUUUGUGGGGUGCUCGAGUGGCGAACGGGUGAGUAACACGUGAGUAACCUGCCCUUGACUUUGGGAUAACUUCAGGAAACUGGGGCUAAUACCGGAUAGGAGCUCCUGCUGCAUGGUGGGGGUUGGAAAGUUUCGGCGGUUGGGGAUGGACUCGCGGCUUAUCAGCUUGUUGGUGGGGUAGUGGCUUACCAAGGCUUUGACGGGUAGCCGGCCUGAGAGGGUGACCGGCCACAUUGGGACGGGGAUACGGCCCAGACUCCUACGGGAGGCAGCGGUGGGGAAUAUUGCACAAUGGGCGGAGGCCUGAUGCAGCAACGCCGCUGGCGGGAUGACGGCCUUCGGGUUGUAAACCGCUUUCGCCGGUGACGAGGCGUGAGUGACGGUAAUGGGUAAAGAAGCACCGGCUAACUACGU
rnacentral:rRNA from 1 species